rnacentral:rRNA from 1 species
UACGUAGGGUGCAAGCGUUGUUCGGAUUUACUGGGCGUAAAGGGCGCGUAGGCGGCCAGCACAAGUCAGUUGUGAAAUCUCCGAGCUUAACUCGGAAAGGUCAACUGAUACUGUGCGGCUAGAGUGCGGAAGGGGCAACUGGAAUUCUUGGUGUAGCGGUGAAAUGCGUAGAUAUCGGGAGGAACACCAGUGGCGAAGGCGGCGAUCUGGGAAGAUACUGACGCUGAGGUGCGAAAGCGUGGGGAGCAAACAGG